GGUAAAGGCCUACCAAGGCAUCGAUCAGUAGCUGGUCUGAGAGGACGACCAGCCACACUGGAACUGAGACACGGUCCAGACUCCUACGGGAGGCAGCAGUGGGGAAUUUUGGACAAUGGGCGAAAGCCUGAUCCAGCAAUGCCGCGUGAGUGAAGAAGGCCUUCGGGUUGUAAAGCUCUUUUGUCAGGGAAGAAACGGUGCGGGCUAAUAUCCUGCACUAAUGACGGUACCUGAAGAAUAAGCACCGGCUAACUACGUGCCAGCAGCCGCGGUAAUACGUAGGGUGCAAGCGUUAAUCGGAAUUACUGGGCGUAAAGCGUGCGCAGGCGGUUUUGUAAGUUUGUCGUGAAAGCCCCGGGCUCAACCUGGGAAUUGCGAUGAAGACUGCAAGGCUUGAAUCUGGCAGAGGGGGGUAGAAUUCCACGUGUAGCAGUGAAAUGCGUAGAGAUGUGGAGGAACACCGAUGGCGAAGGCAGCCCCCUGGGUCAAGAUUGACGCUCAUGCACGAAAGCGUGGGGAGCAAACAGGAUUAGAUACCCUGGUAGUCCACGCCCUAAACGAUGUCUACUAGUUGUCGGGUUUUAAUUAACUUGGUAACGCAGCUAACGCGUGAAGUAGACCGCCUGGGGAGUACGGUCGCAAGAUUAAAACUCAAAGGAAUUGACGGGGACCCGCACAAGCGGUGGAUGAUGUGGAUUAAUUCGAUGCAACGCGAAAAACCUUACCUACCCUUGACAUGGACGGAAGCCACGAGAGAUCGAGGUGUGCUCGAAAGAGAACCGUCACACAGGUGCUGCAUGGCUGUCGUCAGCUCGUGUCGUGAGAUGUUGGGUUAAGUCCCGCAACGAGCGCAACCCUUGUCAUUAGUUGCUACGAAAGAGCACUCUAAUGAGACUGCCGGUGACAAACCGGAGGAAGGUGGGGAUGACGUCAAGUCCUCAUGGCCCUUAUGGGUAGGGCUUCACACGUCAUACAAUGGUACAUACAGAGGGCCGCCAACCCGCGAGGGGGAGCUAAUCCCAGAAAGUGUAUCGUAGUCCGGAUUGUAGUCUGCAACUCGACUACAUGAAGUUGGAAUCGCUAGUAAUCGCGGAUCAGCAUGUCGCGGUGAAUACGUUCCCGGGUCUUGUACACACCGCCCGUCACACCAUGGGAGCGGGUUUUACCAGAAGUAGGUAGCUUAACCGCAAGGAGGGCGCUUACCACGGUAGGAUUCGUGACUGG
rnacentral:rRNA from 1 species